rnacentral:rRNA from 1 species
UAGGGAAUCUUCGGCAAUGGACGAAAGUCUGACCGAGCAACGCCGCGUGAGUGAAGAAGGUUUUCGGAUCGUAAAACUCUGUUGUUAGAGAAGAACAAGGACGUUAGUAACUGAACGUCCCCUGUCGGUAUCUAACCAGAAAGCCACGGCUAACUACGUGCCAGCAGCCGCGGUAAUACGUAGGUGGCAAGCGUUGUCCGGAUUUAUUGGGCGUAAAGCGAGCGCAGGCGGUUUCUAAAGUCUGAUGUGAAAGCCCCCGGCUCAACCGGGGGGGGUCAUUGGAAACUGGGGGACUUGAGUGCAGAAGAGGAGAGUGGAAUUCCGUGGUUAGCGGUGAAAUGCGUAGAUAUAUGGAGGAACACCAGUGGCGAAGGGGGCUCUCUGGACUGUAACAGACGCUGAAGCUCGAAAGAGUGGGGAGCGAACAGG